rnacentral:rRNA from 1 species
GUAAUACAGAAGCCUCAAGCGUUACCCGGAUUUAUUGGGCGUAAAGGAUGCGUAGGCGGUUAUAUUAGUCUUGUGUUAAAACUUUGGGCUUAACCUAAAGAUCGCACAGGAAACGGUAUAACUAGAAGAAGUGAGAGGUGAACAGAACUCUCGGUGUAGGGGUGGAAUCCGUUGAUAUCGAGGGGAAUACCAAAUGCGAAGGCAGUUCACUGGCACUUUCUUGACGCUGAGGCAUGAAAGCGUGGGUAGCGAAUCGGAUUAGAUACCCGAGUAGUCCACGCCCUAAACGUUGUCCGCUGGUUUUGGGGAGAAUCGACCCUCCCCGAGACGAAGCUAACGCAUUAAGCGGACCGCCUGGGUAGUACGAUCGCAAGAUUAAAACUCAAAGGAAUAGACGGGGGCCCGCACAAGCGGUGGAGCGCGUGGCUUAAUUCGUCGCUAAGCGAGGAACCUUACCAAGGCUAGAAAUUAUACUGCAUCCCCUAAGAAACUAGGGGAGCCUUCGAGGGUGUAUAACAGGUGAUGCAUGGCCGUCGUCAGUUCGUGGCUUGAGCUGUUCCCUUAAGUGGGGAAACGAACGCAACCCUCGUUGUGUGUUAUAAGUAUCACACGAGACUGCUCCCUCACGGGAGAGGAAGGUGAGGAUGACGCCAGGUCAGCAUGUCCCUAGAUGCCUUGGGCUGCACACACGCUACAAUGGGUAGUACAACGGGACGCAAUAUCGUAAGAUGGAGCAAAUCCUAAUAAAACUAUCCCCAGUUCGGAUUGAGGGCUGCAACUCGCCCUCAUGAAGU